CUAAGCGGAGGAGAAGAAACUAACCAGGAUUUCCCUAGUAACGGCGAGCGAACCGGAAAGAGCCCAGCUUGAAAAUCGUGGUGCCUCUCAUCUCGAAUUGUAGUCUGGAGAAGGUCCCUCUGCGACGCGCCGGACCCAAGUUCCCUGGAAAGGGACGUCAUCGAGGGUGACAACCCCGUCCGCGCCCGGAACGCGUCGCUCCACGAGGACCUGUCUGCGAGUCGGGCUGUUUGGGAAUGCAGCCCUAAGCGGGAGGUAAAUUCCUUCCAAGGCUAAAUAUGGGCAAGAGACCGAUAGCGAACAAGUACCGCGAGGGAAAGAUGAAAAGGACUUUGAAAAGAGAGUUAAAAAGUGCUUGAAAUUGCUGGGAGGGAAGCGAAUGGAAGCUGCGGGUGCGCCCCGGUUGGAUGUGGAACGGCUUCGGCUGGUCCGCCGCUCAACGCGGGGCGCUGGUCAGCGUGGGCCACGGCGCCGGGACAAGAGCGGGGAUUCGCUUCCCGCCUAUGCCGGUGCGGUGGCCGAGGCACGAAGCGCGCGCCGCAAGGCGUGGGUUCGCCCAACUGCGCGCUCGGGACGCUGGCGUAUUGAGCUCUUCAUCCGACCCGUCUUGAAACACGGACCAAGGAGUCUAACAUGUAUGCGAGCCGGUGGGCGGCAAACCCAUUGAGGCGCAAGUAAACUGACAGGUGGGACCCCGACCGUGAGGGAGGGAGCACCAUCGACCGACCGUGAUCUUCUGUGAAAGGUUUGAGUGUGAGCAUACCUGUUGGGACCCGAAAGAUGGUGAACUAUGCCUGAGCAGGGCGAAGCCAGAGGAAACUCUGGUGGAGGCUCGUAGCGAUACUGACGUGCAAAUCGUUCGUCAGACUUGGGUAUAGGGGCGAAAGACUAAUCGAACCAUCUAGUAGCUGGUUCCCUCCGAAGUUUCCCUCAGGAUAGCUGGAGCUCGUGUACAAGUUUUAUCAGGUAAAGCGAAUGAUUAGAGGCAUCGGGGGUGUAACACCCUCGACCUAUUCUCAAACUUUAAAUAGGUAAGCCGCCGGGGUUGCUUGGUUGAACCCCGGCACAGAAUGAGAGCUCCAAGUGGGCCA
rnacentral:rRNA from 2 species